rnacentral:lncRNA from 1 species
GGGCCAGUCAGCCCCGAACCCGCGAAAGGCUCCUCACUCCUGCCAGCCUUCGUCAACGAAAUCACAGCCCCGAGAGGCAGCUGGAGCUACACCGGCGGCAGCCAAGGCAAAAUGUCCAAGCUCAGGAUUAAUCUGGAUUCUGGGAAGCGUGCAUCCUGGCCGAGAGCUUAAAAAUGGAAAAUGGAUGGAGGAAACUUUGACCUAGAAGACAAAGGACAAAA